AAAAUAGUCCGCGCUCGCAGAGACACGACGAUCACUUCGGGAAACGUGACACUCGUGACAGUAGUUUUACAACAUUUGUGAAAUUCACGGCGGGGUCUAAAGGAAGUAACCGAUCGGUACAAAUCGUACGUCGAGCAUAUUAAUGGUCAAGAAAUACGUGUAUACGUAGGCGCGAGAAUAUCAAAAGGAGUUGAUAUUACUACGCCGCACGUUGUGGAAGGAAGCAGAAAUCGAGUACUAGCAGGAAGUGGGUAGAAGGGGGUACGUCGUUGAGCUAGUUGAUUCGGUGGUGGCUACAUGUGGCUGUCCGCCGGUCGCGACUACGAGACAUUUCCUAUUGAGGCAUAAAAAGUUACAUUUUCCAACGGAAAUCGAUAGUUGAAAGAAGCCGUAAUCAUGCAAAUGGAUCCAACGACGGUGCAACUUAUCCAGGUUCUAGAGAGAACAGUCUCAUCAGACAAAAAUGAAUUGGAGGCAGCUCAGAAUUUUCUAGAGCAAGCAGCAAGGGCUAAUCUUCAUGAAUUUUUGCAAAGACUUAGCAGCGUGCUUGUUACUGCUGCUGCAAGCCCUGUUGCUCGUAUGGCAGCAGGUCUUCAGCUUAAAAAUCAACUUACAUCCAAAGAUCCAGACCUAAAAUAUCAAUAUCAACAACGUUGGCUUGCGAUUCCUGUAGAAACAAGAGAAUAUAUUAAGAAAAAUAUUUUUGGGGCACUUGGAACAGAGAACAAUAGGCCAGGUUCUGCACCACAGUGUGUUGCAUAUGUAGCAGUUGCUGAAUUACCUGUUCGUGAAUGGACCAAUGUUAUUCAGCUGUUAGUUAAUAAUGUUGUAAAUCCAAACAGUACAGAAAUGUUAAAAGAAGCAACACUAGAAGCCAUUGGUUAUAUUUGUCAAGAUAUAGAAAGCGAUGUUUUGGUACCUCAGUCUAAUGAAAUUCUCACAGCUAUUAUUCAUGGUAUGAAAGGAUCUAGUACUUCGCAUUAUGUUCGUCUUGCAGCUACAAGUGCACUCUACAAUUCAUUAGAAUUUACCAAAGGAAAUUUUGAGAUAGAGACAGAACGAAACUUCAUUAUGGAAGUGGUAUGCGAGGCGACGCAAUCUUUAAACACACAAGUUAAAGUAGCAGCAUUACAGUGUCUUGUGAAGAUUAUGUCGUUAUAUUAUCAAUAUAUGGAACCUUACAUGGCUCCAGCACUUUUUCCGAUUACUUUAGAAGCUAUGAAAUCAGAUAUUGAUGAAGUUGCACUGCAAGGAAUUGAGUUUUGGUCAAAUGUAUCUGAUGAGGAAGUAGAUUUAGCCAUGGAAGAAGGUGAAGCCUCCGAUGGUGGUCGACCGCCGGUCAAAGUAUCGAGGCAUUAUGCAAAGGGUGCUUUGCAAUACUUGGUACCUGUUUUGAUGAAGAAACUCACUAAACAAGAAGAAUUCGAUGAUGAAGACGAUUGGAAUCCUUCAAAAGCAGCCGGAGUAUGUUUAAUGUUACUAUCAUCUUGUUGCGAAGAUGCUAUUGUUCCAUUCGUUUUGCCAUUCAUCAAAGAUAGUAUCAAAAGUCCAGAUUGGAGGUAUAGAGAUGCUGCUUUGAUGGCUUUUGGUUCGAUUCUCGGAGGCGUCGAUCAUGCCACUUUGAAACCUUUGGUAGAGCAAGCAAUGCCAACACUUAUCGAACUAAUGUAUGAUAGCAGUGUCGCGGUAAGGGAUACAGCUGCAUGGACGUUUGGUCGAAUUUGUGAGAUCAUACCAGAAGCGGCGAUUAGUGAGACAUACCUGAAACCAUUGUUAGAAGCUUUGAUAAAUGGUUUGAAGGCGGAACCUCGUGUUGCAGCAAACGUUUGUUGGGCAUUUACGGGUCUUGCAGAGGCUAGUUACGAGGCUGCUGAAAGUUUAGAAGGGCAAAAUCCAGAAACUUAUUGCAUGUCUCAAUACUUUGAUUUUAUUAUUCAGAGAUUAUUGGAAACAACAGAUCGUCCGGAUGGAGCUCAAGCUAACUUAAGGUCAGCUGCAUACGAAGCGCUAAUGGAUAUGGUGAAAAACUCUCCGCGCGAUUGUUAUAUAACCGUGCAGAAGACGACGAUGGUAAUUCUGGAAAGAUUGCAGCAGGUACUGCAAAUGGAGACACAUAUCCAGAGCCAUUCGGAUCGUGCUCAGUACAACGAUUUGCAAUCGUUGUUAUGUGCAACUUUACAAUCCGUACUCCGUAAAGUUACACCAGAAGAUGCUCCUCAUAUCUCUGAUGUAAUAAUGACAGCGUUAUUGUCCAUGUUCAAUUCGAAUUCUUGCAAAGCCGAGGGUGUACAGGAAGAUGCUCUCAUGGCUGUAUCGACUCUGGUCGAAGUGUUGGGAGAGCGUUUCUUGAAGUACAUGGAUGCGUUCAAACCCUAUCUUUGUCUUGGUUUAAAAAAUUAUGCAGAGUAUCAAGUUUGUUGCGCUGCGGUAGGUUUGACUGGUGAUAUCUGCCGCGCCUUGAAGAGCAAGAUGUUACCUUACUGCGACGAGAUUAUGACCCUGUUGCUAGAAAAUCUUAGCAACGAUUCGGUUAAUCGUUCUGUGAAACCUCAAAUCUUUUCUGUUUUCGGUGAUGUUGCUCUUAGUAUUGGUCCAGAAUUCAAGAAAUACUUGGAUGUGGUACUUCAAACGCUGGCUCAGGCUUCCCAAGCGAACGUGGAUAGAAGCGACUAUGAUAUGAUCGAUUAUUUAAAUGAAUUACGCGAAGGUGUUCUUGAGGCUUACACUGGUAUAGUGCAAGGACUACGUGGUGACGAAACAAAUCCUUGUUCAGACGCUGCGAUUGCUUUGGUGGAGCCACACGUACCCUUUAUCAUUCAGUUUAUUACAUCAAUAGCUCAAGACCGUGAACAUUCCGAAGGCAACAUUUCAGCCUCGGUGGGAUUGCUUGGUGAUUUGGUCACUGUUUUCGGAGUAAAACUUUUGCCAAUGGUUGAGACUGAACCGCUUACAGAGCUCUUAACUAAAGCUAGACGAUCACGCAUUGAUAAGACCAAAACUCUGGCCAACUGGGCAACUAAAGAGAUUCGAAAGCUCAAGAAUGUUGCUAAUUCCACAUCUAGUUGAUCACCCCACGGUUGUACUGUCGUGCAAUUUGAUUUGACUAGAGAGCUAUCGAACACAAUACAAAGACAACAAGAUUGGAUGGUGCGGAUGCGAGUUGAUGGAUGUGCGUGAGUUUCGAAGCGAUGACGAUGAUGGGGUGAUGAAUCUGCACGUGUCCCUGCUCUGGCGACGGUAUUCGAGUACCGACACGUUGAGCACAACCCCAAAUGAUCGAGAAAAUAAAUACCUGUCUGCCGGAUGUCUGCCGACAACGGAUGAUGAGGAGUGCAAGUGGAUGUUGCCGAUGAAUGAGCCAAGGCCGAAGUCUGCCGAAAUGUUCCGGUGAUGCAAGUAUGCCUGAUAACGAGCCUGGGGCUUCUACCCGCGUGAUUGAGAAGUUGAACCUGAGGAAAGGACGACUUCGAUGGACGAUGUUCGUGGCCAGUGAGAGAGAGAGAGAGAGAGAGAGAGAGAGAGAGAGAGAGAGAGAGAGAGAGAGAGAGAGAGAGAGAGAGAGAGAGAGAGAGAGAGAGAGAAUGUUGUCGAAUGCUGCCGAUCGACGAUCGGACCAAACAUUAUAAUUUACGCAUGUGAACAAUUCGGGCGAUAAAUGUGGGUUGAAGCAAAAGCAAGCAAGAAAGAAAGAAAGAAAGAAAGAAAGAAAGAAAAAACGAAUAAACGAGAACACGAGUUGGAUGAAGUCCUAUUUAGCCUGCCACUUUGUAAUUUGCUCACCCUCUCCAAUUUAUUUCCUAGAGGUUGAUUUUUAGAUCGACCGAGCCACUAAUAAAAAAAAAAAAAAGAACAAAAGACAAAAAGUAAAAAAAAAAUUAAGCCGCAGAAAUUUGAAAAAUCCAUCAUGUUUUUUGGCCUAUUCUACAUUUAACUGAUUCAACAUUUCUCGUAUAUCAAAUAUUUAGCGAAUAAAACCUACGAAUUUUGAUUCAUACGAUCGCAAAGCGUGCCUUUUGAUACUCUCGACAUAAUUCUUUUCGUUCGAGGAGAAGAUCUUACUUUCCACACAGGGAAACGAAAGCUUCGUUCAAGCGAGAAAAUAUUACUAGUCCGUUAUCGUAUAUAAUUAUCAGGGAAGAUAAAGUUCAAAGUAGAGAUUAACGUUCUAACGAGAAAACUUUAUUUUACUAUGCAUAAAAGAAGAAUCUUAGCAGUGCAUGCUUAGGAAGACUUUCUUUUUUUUUCCUCCGUUUCUUCGAAAAAAAUUUCAACGAUGAUUUGCCGUUGUAAAAAUAUUCUAGAAUAGGAGAGGGUGCGCAUAUCUACGUAGAGCGAGAUAUUCACGAGUAUUCUUUCCGUUUCUUUUCGAUUCGUAUCAAUCGUGUGGUUUGCGGAGCCUGUGUUCUGUGAAGAUUUUCAAAUGACAACGAUUAUAUGUGACACAUCGGCUACAUCGCUUAUCUGAAUGCUAGAGCGAUCGUGGAAUGAUUGGAGGACGAUUCUUUUGGAAAGUGUGUUCGAAGAUGUAUGAUCGGUCAUGUUAAUAGAUCAACGGAGAAUUUAAUUGCGCAGUGAAAAGAGGGAAAGAAUAAAAAUAUAAAAAAAGAACGAAAGAUUAGUAAUCCAUGGUUACAUUAAGUUAACAAGGUUUCAACGGUCAUAUAAACAAAUUCAUUAUUAGUUUUUCAUAUUUUUCAUCGUUGAUAUCUUCUUGUAUCCCGCCUUAUCUAUUGGAACGUGAAUAUUCCUAUAAGUAUGUGUCAACCCUCUCCUCCAAUCAUUAAUAUGGCUGGUCGUACUCUGUCAGUGUGCGUACGAGAAAUGAUUUUUCAUUGAAUCGCCAAGCGACAGUGCCAUACGAUUAAUUGAACGAGAGAAAUCAUUUCGAUUACUAGCAUCGCGAUUUUCAUCGUUCUAAAGAGGAAAAAAAGAAAAAAGAAAAAAAAAAAGAAGAUCGAGAAAAAUGAAAAAGAGAGUGAAAGAACGAGGGAGGGAAAAAAAGAGACCGAUGAGAGAAAGAAAACACAAAAACACAAUUGCGUUCUGUAUGUCUCCUAUAC